GAUUCUUGCGGACAAGUUGUUCGCAUGUGGAAUUCGCGGGAAACCCUUGGAUUUGUUGAAAUCUUACUUAAAAAACCGCCAGCAGAACGUAUGUUUGCAUGAUUCACAAUCGU
rnacentral:lncRNA from 1 species